UUAUUUCGUUUCUUUUGGGAUAGGUUCUAAUAACUACAUAUCACAUUCUGAAUUCAAUUUCUUUCAAAUCAGAACCUUGAACAACUAUAGAACUAGUUGGAUUUGACGUAAGUCUAAUCUGUGACAUGUUCAGAUAUAGGAUUGUUCAGCACAUGUGCUGAGUGGGAGAAUAAGAAAAUUGAAAUUAAGAACGGAAUGUGUGUUACUUAGAUAUCCUAAAGAAUGAAAGAAGGUUUAUUAUAGUGUCCUAAAGAAAAUAAGACAAUUGUUAACACAACUGUCUGAUUUCUAGAAAAGGAUCAUUUAGUAAACCAUGUUCGUAGAAGUAAACUAGUUUUACAGGAAUUGAACAAAGAAAUAACAAAUAAGUCAAUUAUAAAUUCAGACGCUCAAAACAUCUAAUCGGUAUGUCAAAAAUGACGUUCAAUUGCAUUUAUGUAAUGGGAGAAACGUUGCUAGACAUAAGAAAACUACUACCUGAAGUAGUGGAAGUGAUGUUGAGCAAAUUGAAGAACACUACAUGAAAAGUUGUUAAUAUUUCAAUAUCGAAAGAUUUUGAAGAAAAUAUUAAGACUCAAGAUCAUGAAAGUGUGAUUAUGUAGUGCUUAGUCGUAGUGGGAGAAUCAUAGCGAAGAUUGAUUUGUUUUGUAUGCUUGAGAGAACUUUUAUGAUCUGAAAAGAAGUACACUCUUGGAAGGUUUCAUGAGAAGCUCUCUCAAGAUCUAGUACAAAAUCGAUUUGUUACGACGAAGCACUACUAGACAAAAUUGCAUGAGAAAAUAGAAAUAAAGGAAUGCUUGUGAAAGUUGUAAAUGCAUAGUUAAGAGUCUAAGUGGGAGAUUGUUAGGGGUAUAUACUAUUAAUCAUGUGUUUAGACAUAGUAUUCUAACAAUUUUCAAGAUUAAAUAUCUAAGUGGGAG
rnacentral:lncRNA from 1 species